AAGUUCAUGUUGUGAUAAAUAUCCAUACUUGAUUAAUGCUCAUAUGAUGUAGUGCACUUGGCUUACUUGAUAAGAUGAACGGGAUAACGAGAAAUUCGUAGAGGUAUGAGUAAAGGUUCCUAAUAUCAUGAUAUGAAUGAAAAUGUCAUUGCCUUGAUUGAACGUUGAAUGUUGAUGAAUGUUAAUGAUAUUUUUUAUGAGAUAAAUGAUUAUAAUGAAAUGAAUUUAUCUAUGUUAA
rnacentral:lncRNA from 1 species